GCAUCGGUGGUUCAGUGGUAGAACACUGGCCACUCAACCAAGUGGUCCGGGGUUCGAUACCACGCUGGCGCU
rnacentral:tRNA from 1 species